rnacentral:rRNA from 1 species
GCCAGACUCCUACGGGAGGCAGCAGUGGGGAAUAUUGCACAAUGGGCGCAAGCCUGAUGCAGCCAUGCCGCGUGUAUGAAGAAGGCCUUCGGGUUGUAAAGUACUUUCAGCGGGGAGGAAGGCGAUAAGGUUAAUAACCUUGUCGAUUGACGUUACCCGCAGAAGAAGCACCGGCUAACUCCGUGCCAGCAGACGCGGUAAUACGGAGGGUGCAAGCGUUAAUCGGAAUUACUGGGCGUAAAGCGCGCGCAGGCGGGCUGUCAAGACGGAGGUGAAAUCGCCGGGCGCAACCUGGGAACUGCAUUCGAAACUGGCAGGCUGGAGUGUUGUAGAGGGGGGUAGAAUUCCAGGUGUAGCGGUGAAAUGCGUAGAGAUCUGGAGGAAUACCGGUGGCGAAGGCGGCCCCCUGGACAAAGACUGACGCUCAGGUGCGAAAGCGUGGGGAGCAAACAGGAUUAGAUACCCGGGUACU